rnacentral:rRNA from 1 species
UACGGAGGGGGCUAGCGUUGUUCGGAAUUACUGGGCGUAAAGCGCACGUAGGCGGCUUUGUAAGUCUGAUGUGAAAGCCCACGGCUCAACCGUGGAGGGUCAUUGGAAACUGGGGAACUUGAGUGCAGAAGAGAAAAGCGGAAUUCCACGUGUAGCGGUGAAAUGCGUAGAGAUGUGGAGGAACACCAGUGGCGAAGGCGGCCUGCUGGGCAGUGGCUGACGCUGAGGCGCGACAGCGUGGGGAGCAAACGGG